ACGAACGCUGGCGGCGUGCUUAACACCUGCAAGUCGAACGGAAAGGCCCUGCUUUUGUGGGGUGCUCGAGUGGCGAACGGGUGAGUAACACGUGAGUAACCUGCCCUUGACUUUGGGAUAACUUCAGGAAACUGGGGCUAAUACCGGAUAGGAGCUCCUGCUGCAUGGUGGGGGUUGGAAAGUUUCGGCGGUUGGGGAUGGACUCGCGGCUUAUCAGCUUGUUGGUGGGGUAGUGGCUUACCAAGGCUUGACGGGUAGCCGGCCUGAGAGGGUGACCGGCCACAUUGGGACUGAGAUACGGCCCAGACUCCUACGGGAGGCAGCAGUGGGGAAUAUUGCACAAUGGGCGGAAGCCUGAUGCAGCAACGCCGCGUGCGGGAUGACGGCCUUCGGGUUGUAAACCGCUUUCGCCUGUGACGAAGCGUGAGUGACGGUAAUGGGUAAAGAAGCACCGGCUAACUACGUG
rnacentral:rRNA from 1 species